rnacentral:rRNA from 1 species
CAAUUUAUUACAUAGGAAUAGCUUUUUGAGAAGAAGGUUAAAUUGAGAAUUGAUGAAACUUAAAUGUUUUUACAAGUAACUGUUUUAAAUAUCUGACCUAUCAACUUGAAGGUAUGAUAGAGGCAUACCUAAGUGAUAACGGGUAACGAGAAAUAAGGGUUUGAUUUCGGAGAGGGAGCUUUAAAAUGGCUACCACUUCUAAGGAAGGCAGCAGGCGCGCAAAUUACCCACUUUUAAUUUAGAGAGGUAGUGACGAUAAUUAAUAGAGUUGGUCUAUUCGAUCAAUUCAAUUAUAAUGAUUAGAGUUUAAAAAAAUUUAAGAAAUCGAUUGGAGGGCAAGUCUGGUGCCAGCAGCCGCGGUAAUUCCAGCUCCAAUAGUGUAUAUUAAAGUUGUUGUGUUUAAAAAGCUCGUAGUCGAAUUAUAAGUUUUUUAUAAUAGUUUUUAAAAAGA